GUAAAGAGCGGCGGACGGGUGAGUAACGCGUGGGUAACCUGCCUCAUACAGGGGGAUAACAGUUAGAAAUGACUGCUAAUACCGCAUAAGACCACAGUACCGCAUGGUACGGUGGGAAAAACUCCGGUGGUGUGAGAUGGAUCCGCGUCUGAUUAGCCAGUUGGCGGGGUAACGGCCCACCAAAGCGACGAUCAGUAGCCGACCUGAGAGGGUGACCGGCCACAUUGGGACUGAGACACGGCCCAAACUCC
rnacentral:rRNA from 1 species